rnacentral:lncRNA from 1 species
CGAGCCGAAAUUUCGUUGUACAGGUUACUAUUCCUUUUAGGCUCAUGUAUAUACGAGAUAAACUGUUCCCAAAAAUGAUGUGUUACAGCGCCGAUGUUACACGAUGACGAAAUACAAUUAUGAUAUGGUUUUGAUUGCAUUGACUGGUAGAUCGUGCCGUGGUACGUGGUGUGGUGGUGGUUGUAUGGUGAAUAACAAGUGGGAAAGUUGACACAUCAGGCAACAACCAACGUCAAAAAGGGAUUGAUAUAAAACUUCUGUGACCUUGAGUUAACGUAUCCUCUGUACGAAUACUUUCGUUACUAUAUAUUCUCCUGCAAUAAUAUAACGAUUUACUAUAUAUUUUUUCAAUUAAGAAAUGAAUCUCGAUCUGGCACAAUAAUAAAAACAGACUAAUACUGUCGCCUUGGCCAUUUUUCCAGCGGGAAAACAAAAAUUGUAAUACGUGAUAGGACGGGAAUGAUGGAGAGCGAGAGUAGAGUGUAUGCUUGAUAUAACAAGGUCUGUUUCAUGGUAGGCAAGGGUACGGUGUCGUCAAAUGGACAUCGAGCGAGUCACCAUCGUGUCAAAUGCCCAUAAAAUAUAGAUAUACCGCGCCGUUGUAUGGUCGUCAACGGUAUAUCUAUAUUUUAUGGGGAUUUGACACAAUGGAGAAUCGCCCGAUGUCCAUUUGACACCCUGCCAGUAGGCAAGGAUCCAAGCGAUCCAAGGAUGGCAGGAAUUGAGGGUAGGGUAUAGACCGUAUAGACAAUAUGGCAUAUCAUAUAGAUAACGUAUAGAUUGGCCGAAAAUGGUGCCGUCCAAGGUGCCGUCACUGUUUCCGGCCAGUCGAAAGAAAUGGAGUCAGAUAGUUCUAGAUACAGGCAUAGAUGUCGUAAUAAGCAUUUUCGUCGAUAAUUCGAAAAUUGCAGUCUCGCGGCGACAGAGGGGUUCUCAUAUAUGAAUACAUAGAUAUAUGCAUAUCUGAGACUUGUUUUCGUAGUUUGCACGUCAUGUUGAUGUGUGAGGUUAUGAUCCCCAGAGUGCUGUUGCAUGCGUCGAUAAAUGAAAAUGGGCAUCCCAAUGGAGCUAAGGAAAAAUUUGUCUCUCUUCCUAAUCUUCGGUUCUCUCUGGUCACCAGCAAUGAAGAAGCUAUUUCUGAGAACGAUGAGAGACCUCAGAACGAGUUGACACACUUUAUAGAUACAGUCUGCCUCAACACAGCUUUUGGUGAAUAUAUUUUGAUGGGACCAUGAGAAGCCUAAGAGCCUUUUAUGGCUGCUGUCAGAGGAAUUUCAUACGAGCAGAAUGGUGAUUGAAUUCUCGCUGGGCGACGUGGAUCCGACUUACGAGAAUCUCGUGAACAAAUUGCAGAUAUAGUUGUAUACCUGCAAGGCUUGGCUCCGUUCACCAAAGAUUGGUUGCUCAGACCUGCAACUUAUUUAUGAUUGAGUUCUCUCAUUCUAUAUGCAAGCUCUUGUCAAUCUUGCUGGUGUUAAUCCUGGCAAAAGGUUGAUCAGUCGUGCGACCAAAGCCUUCAACAAGAAGCAAAGAAACCAUAAUGGAUUGAAGCCGCUACCUCUUCUAUGAGAAGCAAAGCGGUAAAUGUAAAACCAAAAGAAAAAUGAAAGGCGAAACUACUGGAGAUGGCGAAAUUGGAAAAAUUUAUCAAAAAACCUGUGGAUGAUUCGCCUGUAUUUAAAAAAGUUUAAUCAUCACGAUUUCAUAAAAACGUUUGUUAAUAAUUUUUUUAGAAUUUUAUUACAACAGAUAAGGUCAAUUACAAAAUUUUCCUAAAAUAGUUGCAUUUUUUCUGUUGUUUUCCAAUAAAGUGCAAAAUUGUAAUGUAUACCAAUUUUGCACUUUAAUACCUCGAUGUUUUUACCAAUUUUUGUCUAGUAUCUGUACAUGUCUAGGUAAUCAGAAAGGAAUAAACCUCAUAAGUAUCAUAUAAGGUUGCAGUGAAGAAAACGAAGUUGAAAUUAUCCGACGGAUAACUUUAUCUGAAGGAUAGCUAUCGGGAGGUAUGAAAAGGGUCAUAAAAAAAAGUCAUGCAAGUAUGUAAAAUCCUGGUAAAAUGAGUUGGGCAAAUUCACGGAGGUUUGAUAGAAACGUUCGUUCACACGGUGCUUUUAUUCCGGUUUUGUAUGUGUCAACAAAUAUAUUUAUAUAAAUUAAUACAGCUGUAUUUUGUAUAUCGGAUUACGUUUACACGGCACUCUUCUUCCGGUUUAGUUAUAUCAAUAUAGAUAUACAAUAUACAUAUUUAUCGAUAUAUAGAAAUAUACCCGUCUGUAUAUAUAAAAUCGGAAUAAAAGCGUCGUGUAAACGUAGUCAAUGUUAUGAAUUAUGCAAAUAUCACCAAAAAUAGAGAUGCGGGCAAAAUCGUUAUCUAUCUCUGUUGACUGAGCUCACGGCGUCUUUGGUAUACGACAAUACGACUCGAUUACCAGGCUUGUUUCACGAGACGGUGAAAUAUUUUCGCUUUUGCUUCUGUUUUAUCCGUAGUUCACAGCUAUUUUCAGUUUUUAUUCAAAAUUUCAUGACUAGAUAAUUUAAUGAGAACAGUGAUCAAUUAAGUAAGUUGAGGCAUUAGAAAGAAAAUGAUGUCAUCGCUUUUAAACCGAUUGCAUCUUAUAAAGUGAAGUGUAAAAAAAAAAAUCAG